GAAGAACCUUACCAGGUCUUGACAUCCCAGUGACCGUCCUAGAGAUAGGAUUUUUCUUCGGAACACUGGUGACAGGUGGUGCAUGGUUGUCGUCAGCUCGUGUCGUGAGAUGUUGGGUUAAGUCCCGCAACGAGCGCAACCCCUAUUGUUAGUUGCCAUCAUUGAGUUGGGCACUCUAGCGAGACUGCCGGUAAUAAACCGGAGGAAGGUGGGGAUGACGUCAAAUCAUCAUGCCCCUUAUGAUCUGGGCUACACACGUGCUACAAUGGCUGGUACAACGAGUCGCAAGUCGGUGACGGCAAGCUAAUCUCUUAAAGCCAGUCUCAGUUCGGAUUGUAGGCUGCAACUCGCCUACAUGAAGUCGG
rnacentral:rRNA from 1 species